rnacentral:rRNA from 1 species
UACGGAGGGGGCUAGCGUUGUUCGGAAUUACUGGGCGUAAAGCGCACGUAGGCGGCUUUGUAAGUUAGAGGUGAAAGCCCGGGGCUCAACCCCGGAACAGCCUUUAAGACUGCAUCGCUUGAACGUCGGAGAGGUGAGUGGAAUUCCUGGUGUAGCGGUGAAAUGCGUAGAUAUCAGGAGGAACACCUGUGGCAAAAGCGGCUCACUGGACCAUAACUGACGCUGGAUGCACGAAAGCCUAGGGGAGCAAACAGG